rnacentral:rRNA from 1 species
CCCAGANAAUUUGGAUUAAUACCAUAUAGUAUAUUUGAAUGGCAUCGUUUGAAUAUUAAAGAUUUAUCGGUAAAAGAUGAGCAUGCGUCCCAUUAGUUAGUUAGUGUGGCAACGGCAUACCAAGACGAUGAUGGGUAGGGGUCCUGAGAGGGAGAUCCCCCACACUGGUACUGAGACACGGACCAGAUUCCUACGGGAGGCAGCAGUGAGGAAUAUUGGUCAAUGGAGGCAACUCUGAACCAGCCAUGCCGCGUGCAGGAUGACGGUCCUAUGGAUUGUAAACUGCUUUUGUACGGGAAGAAAACAAACUACGAGUAGUUAAUUGACGGUACCGUAAGAAUAAGGAUCGGCUAACUCCGUGUCAGCAGCCGCGGUAAUACGGAGGAUCCAAGCGUUAUCCGGAAUCAUUGGGUUUUAAAGGGUCCCGUAGGCGGCCUUAUAAGUCAGUGGUGAAAGUUUUUGGCUUAACCCNAAAAAUUGCCAUUGAUACUGUAGGGCUUGAAUAUCUGUGGAAGUAACUAAAAUAUGUAUGUACGGUGNAAAUGCUUAAAUAUACCUGGAAUACCGAUGGCGAAGGCGGGUUACUAACA